rnacentral:rRNA from 1 species
GUCUCUUUGAGAAUUAUUAAUAGAGAGUUGGGCCUGCUCGGUGAGAAGAAAAUUUAACAGCUGCGGUAUUAUAACUGUACUAAGGUAGCAUAAUAAUUUGCCUUAUAAAUUAAGGCUAGAAUGAAUGGUUUGACGAAAAUUAAGCUGUCUUUAUUUUAUUUAUUAGAAAUUAUUUUUAUAGUGAAAAGCUUGAAUGUUUAAAGGGACGAGAAGACCCUAUUGAGCUUAAUUAUUAAUUAUUAAAUAUAAAUUAAGUUUAAAAGUUAUUUAUUUUAAAUGUAUUUAAUUAAAUUAGUUUUGGUUGGGGUGAUCAAGGAAUAAGAAAAAUUAUAAUAACUUCCUUAAAAUUUUAUUUUUUUAGAAUAAUAACCAAGUUUUUUGCUUAUAAGAUAAGUUACCAUAGGGGUAACAGCGUAAUUUUUUUUGAGAGUUCAUAUUGAAAAAAGAGAUUGCGACCUCGAUGUUGGAUUAAAAAUUACCUUAAGGUGUAGAGGCUUUAUUAGGUGAAUCUGUUCGAUUUUUAAAAUUUUAC